UCGGAACUCGCAUCCGUGGCAAGGACUGAGGCUAGACUGGACUCCCCUGGCCCCUGCGGCCGCCCACGGAGGCCGCCUGUGCCUUUUCCCACCUGUGUCGCUAGCCCACGGUGUCGCCUCGCUCUUCCCGCCUUAGAGGGCCGCGGGCACGGAGUAGUCCCCUGGCCGCGGCCUGGUUUCUCAGGGGGAGGGAGACAAGAUGUCUGCCGCUUGCUCUCCAGUUCCAGCCUCCACCCUGUGAACGCCCAGUACUUUUCCGGGGCUUCUCAGAGGGACGGGAAUCAGGCUCCCAGGUGCUCUGGCCCUCAGCCCCUCCCCCGGGGGGCGGCUAGAACUGAGCUGGGAUCCCGACCUGCCGAACCCCCACCCCCCAGGCCCCUGUCAGAACUAAGUGACAAGAGUUUGGUGAAUGGCAGCUGUCAGCUGCGGCAUUGGAGCCCACCCGGACUCCUCAGCGACUGGACUUCUGCGCGUGCCAUACGACAGAGUCAAAUGACCGCCAGGCAUUCCAAGCGCUUUCCAUGUAUCGGCCCGCUGGUGCUCCUAACGGCCCUUUGGGAUGGGUGCUGUUUAAUAUCCCCAUUUUACAGAUAUAUAAACGGAGGCUCAGCCCAGGCAGCCAGGCUUCUAAAGCUAUAUCCUUAACCACUACCCUCGUGGUAACAUCAACGGCAUAAUUAAUAUGAUAAUAACAAGAUCACGCCUGACAAGCAGCGCUUCCUGAGGGCUUGCUGGGGCUGGGUCUUGUCUGAGGCGGGAUCCAACCAGACAGGAGGUGCAGGCUCCCAAAGUCAGGGUCACAGCCGGUGACAGGACCAGCUCUGAACCCGACGAAUCUUUCGGCAAUGACUAAUCUGAACGCCCUCCUGGGCUCAGCUCUCCCUGCCUCCUGCCAGAAGCAGACUCAUUUGCAUGGCCGGGACACUCCUGCCUUUUGUGUUGGAUUUUUAUUGUGGCCUGCUUGUGUGCUUACUUGGAGGGCUUUGGGUAUCAGCUCAGGGGCCUCCUCUUCUAGGAAGCCCUCCUGGUCUUCACCCCCACCCGAAACUAGAUAAGGCUUCCAGCUAAGUGCUCUCCAAAUGCCUUGCACUUUUUCAUGCCAUUCACUGCCAAUUACAGUCAGCUCUGUCUCCCUGGGCAGCCAGGUCUUGGGUUUGUUUCGGUCUCUUGUCUGUACCACACAUGCCACAGAUGCCACCUCCUCCCACGGCUUAAAUGCCACCCUGCGGCUGCCAACACCCAGAGUUCUACCCUGCAGCCCAGGUGCCUCCAGGCUGCCACAUCCGGCGUGCUCCGCCCGCGCCGGGGCAGAGGGUGCAGGAUCUCAGAGGGAUGUCAAGCUCCACACUCCUGAAACUGAGCUUCUGACCUUCUCCAAACUCGCCGCCUUCCACACCCGGGCCACAGCGUCACUGUCUCUGUGGAGAAACACGCCAGGCUGGUUCUUGAGCCCUCUCUCUCUCCACAUCCACCCCACCCCCACCAGUCAGAACUUGCUGGCUCCAUCUAAAGAAUCUGGGGUCCUUCCCCUCACCUGCCAUCCUGCACGGUGCUUGCCCCGGUCUGUGGAGGCUGUCGCAAGUGUGCAUGGGCUUCCUCAUUUUUUUUUUCUCACCAUAAUAAAAAUCUUAUAUUUCUAUUUCCCAUGAAAUGGACGCUGCCAGGCACAGCAGCCUCCUGCCUGCUCCCUGCUCUUGGUCCUGCCUCCUACAGUCUGCUCCCCCACGCAGCCCUGCAGGAAGCCCGUGGACAUCUGAGUUGGGUUGGGGUCCUCCUGACUUCGCCCUCUCUGGCUGCAUCUCAUCCCAAGCCCCCUGGCAGCCGGGCUCUCCCAUGGGCUGGGACUCUGCAGGAUGACCCCUCCCAUCACUUCGCCAAGAAAUCCUUUCUCACAUCACCCACCACGGACGGGGAAGCUGUCCCACUACAUCUUUCCGGGGAGGUGUGCUGAUUUUCACAGCGACAGACUUUGGAAGCAGCUGGGAAUGCUUGUUCAUUGCACGCAAUACAGCCGAGUCUAUUAAAAAUCGUCACCUGCUCUCCCGACAUAGCCUCUCGUUAGAUUUCUCCUCGGCUUUUUUCCUGGGAACACGGUAAGGCAUUUUUGACCAGCCUGCACAUGCAAAUUUGCAUCCUGCUCUCUUCUGCUGAGAGUCUGCAUGACUCGGCAGUGAGCAGCUGCACGCCCUCGGCGGCGCACCUGGGACCUGACGUGACACAGCGGAAUGACACAGCUGCUCUCAGUGACCCUCAUCCUCAGUGAAUAAAUCAGACAGGAAGGCGGGGCUUCCAUUUCUCGUGCGCCCGUGCUCUGGAGAAGCGGCGGAGUGAGUCUCCAUUUCCUCUUUCUCCUUCUCACCGCCCGGAACGUGGCUGGGCUGGGAGCCAUCUUGGAUCACCCAGCCCUGGGUGCUCGCCCCAUGCUCCAGGCAGACAGGAGGAAGAAGUGUGGGUGCUGGGUGCCAAGAAGCCUUGAAACCAGCCCUGCUCAGGCUGCCUUGGAAGAAACACAAUCCUAGUUUCUUUAAUCCACUGACAUCCCGAGUUGUGUUAUGGGGUUUAUAUGAAAUCCCACGGAACCUACAGGGCCCUUUAACAUAUGCUCUGAGCACUCUCCCACGACCUUCAACAUGUCAUUUGCAAAGUGUUCCUGAUAGUUCUUCAUUUGAGAGUGACUUUCCCCGCAUCGAGAGAUACGAGCUACGUGCUCGCUUCUUACACCUGCGCGGUUGGUGACCACUCUGGUCAACAGCAGCACCGGGAGCUUCCAAGGCUGGGUUACAAAAGGCCAGGCGGAUUUUGCCUGCUUCUCCCCUGACACUCCCUCGGGAGAAAGCCAGGAAUAAAUAGUUCAGCUGCUGCUGAGACCGCCCGGCUGGGAAGGCCGCAUGGAGGUGCUCUGGUUACAGCCCCAGAGCCCAGCCGGCAGCCAAGCUGAGUCACCUCGGAUAGCCAGCCUGGUGAGGCCUACACUCGAGGGGAGGGCUCUUAAAGAGAAACAGAACUAAGUGCUUUGUGGGCACACUGUAAACCCAUCACCACCUGUGGGGCUGGUGCUGUGAUGCCGCUGUAUGCAACACUGGAUCCCGUAUCAGAGCGCUGGUUCAAGAGCUGACUGCCUGGCUUCUGAUCCAGCUACCUGUUAAUGCACUUGGGAAAGCAGAGGAUGGUCUCUGCACCCACAUUGGAGACCCGGAUGGAGUUUUUGGCCUCUGGCUUCUGCCUGAUCCAGCCCUGGCUGUUGUGGCCAUUUGGGGUGUGCACCAGGGGAUGGAAGAUGGAUCUCUCUCUCUGUUUCUCUGUUACCCUGCCUUUCAAAUAAAUACAUUUCUAAAGAAAUAAAUAAACCCACCGCAACAGAAGUUAUAAACGCAGCCCCUAACUCUCACCCUAAAGAGGCCACAUACUGUAAGCAGCGGCCUGGGCCUGGGGUAGGCGCUGGAGACGCACUCUGCCGCUCUGGGCCCGACGGCUCCAUGCCCUUUCCUGUCUGCUGUAACCAGGGCUGCAGCUCCUAGGCGCCCCUUUCACUGGGGUUCACUGGGGGCUGAGCCAAUGGAAGCACAGGUGAGAGACGGGGAGGGGGGGCAGGAGCAAGAGGCCCUGGUGAUUUUCCUCCUCGAGGGUAAUUUUCCGUUUCUCCCUGUGGUUGUGCCUCCUGCAUAGC